UCCACCAUAGCCUAGUGGUAAAGUUUCCCAUGCCCUCAGUUUGACGAGUGGUGUGGUGCGGAGGGUUCGAAUCCCUCUGGUGGCA